AAUUGAGUUAAAAUUGAAUAAAAUAAAUUUCAUCAUUCCUUAAUUUAUAAAAGACGUGAACGUACUCGAAUGCCAGCAUCACGAUUAGCCUCGGCGACGCCGACAUCGGCGUCCCGUUUGACAGCUGCAGUUUGUGCCUUGCCAAGUGACGCCAAGUAUUGAACGUCGUCGUAUACGUCUUUUAUCGUGAACGAUAAAAUUUCGAUCCCCAUGCGACCAACAUCUGGCGCUGCUACCUCUCUCACCAAUGUGGCGAAUUGAUCCCGAUCUUUGUACACCUCCUCUACCGAUAACGUGCCUGAAAGUUAUCCACAGUUUUUCUAGUUAGAUAAGCGGCCAUAUUUGAAAUAUGGAUCCCAAAGGGAAGAGACAGAUUCGAAUGUUUGAUUUUACGAUUCAUAAAUGUGCACGCUAUUAUUAUUACAUAUUUUUAACACUUAUGAAUUGAAUAUAUGUGAAAUUUAAUUAUUUAUAUUAUUUGAGAACAAAUACACUUUUACAUCACUUAUGAUAUGAUUCGAGAUUUGGAACGAGAUAUACCUAAUAUCGCACGAAGAUGACCCUCGAGAGUGGAAAGGAUUGUCGAUUUGAUUUCGUAAACGCUUUUUCCUAAAAAUUGUUCGCUGGCAGUGUGGAGGAGUUCAUCAGCCUUCAUGAUCUUGCACUGUGCU